GACCAACCAGUGCAGUAUGGAGUUCCUGGUGCAGGGUAUGUCUACUUGCAUUUAGACAGCAGCCGCUGGUACGAUAUCCCAACACCCCGGCGAACAUAGCGUGUAACAGCAUCAACCAUGUGAUCAUCCGGCAAAUUCUCCAGUAUCAGCGGAUCGAACCUGCCGGGAUGGUAGAUGUGCGGGUUAGAGAGGAGCGCUUCUGCGGGCAGCAGAACGAUAUGCGCACUGUGAUUAUCAGCCCGGUGGCGGUGUCGGUCAAUAUCACGUUUGUGAGGGCCUCCGUUGGCGGGAGCAGAGCAGUUUGAUAUCACGCUGGAAGCAAUUCCGCAGAUAGCCGCACACUGUGGCUCCUCCUCCAUGAACGUGUCCAUCGUGAAGCAGAAGCUAGCCGGUUGGAACAACGGCACAUGGACCGCACAAGUCGUCAACCAAUCGCUGAUGAUUCCGCCGUCAUCUGCUGACCAGCAGUGUCGUGCUGUACAAAACGACAUCCAGAGUCGUUCCACGGAUUUUUUCCAAUUUGUCUUUGAUGCCACACGCUGUCCGCGCAUCUUCAACACGGAUACAGAUAACUACACCUUAUCCUAAAGUCUUGGUGGCCCGGGUGAACAAGUGGAUAUCGGCGCAGUGCAGAUUGAGUAUCGCGAUCAAUUCCUCAUUCCCAUUCGCUGCUAUUUGAAAAUGGAUCCGACCGGAGCAGGCUGGAGAUGUUAACAGCGGGGAUGUUCUUCCGUUUGAGGAUAUUUCGGAAACCAUCGUUGUACCGUACAGAGUAAAUGUAUAUCGGGAUUCCAGUCUCCAAGUUCCAUUUCAAUAUCUGACCUUUAACAACGGGGAAACGGCGUUUUAUUUGGUGGCGACACCUAUGGAUACCGGGACACCGGUCAACAGUAUUCAGACAGAGGUUCAGCGCUGUCUAGCUAGGAAAUCAGACGGUUCAAACGAAAACAACGACAUUGUAUUAUAUAAUUCGGGGUGCGCAUUUGCAUAGGCACUUGCUGAUUCUCAUCGGAAUUUAAGCAGACACCGAAAAU